AGAAUCAACGCUGGCGGCGUGCCUAACACAUGCAAGUCGCACGAGAAAGUGGAGCAAUCCAUGAGCAAAGUGGCGCACGGGUGAGUAACACGUGAAUUAUCUACCUCCGAGUGGGGAAUAACUGAGAGAAAUCUUAGCUAAUACCGCAUAACACUUACGAGUCAAAGCAGCAAUGCGCUUGGAGAGGAGUUCGCGGCCGAUUAGUUAGUUGGCGGGGUAAUGGCCCACCAAGACGAUGAUCGGUA
rnacentral:rRNA from 1 species